rnacentral:rRNA from 1 species
GGACCCGCACAAGUAGUGGAGCAUGUGGUUUAAUUCGAAGAUACGCGCAGAACCUUACCAACACUUGACAUGUUCGUCGCGACUCUAAGAGAUUAGAGUUUUCGGUUCGGCCGGACGAAACACAGGUGCUGCAUGGCUGUCGUCAGCUCGUGUCGUGAGAUGUUCGGUUAAGUCCGGCAACGAGCGCAACCCACAUCCCUAGUUGCCAUCAUUUAGUUGGGCACUCUGAAAGAACUGCCAGUGAUAAGCUGGAGGAAGGUGGGGAUGACGUCAAGUCCUCAUGGCCCUUACGUGUUGGGCUACACACGUGCUACAAUGGUAUCUACAACAGGAAGCAAGACGGCGACGUUAAGCAAAUCCUUAAAAGAUACCUCAGUUCGGAUUGCACUCUGCAACUCGAGUGCAUG